CUUUGUGUUUCAAGCAUUAAGAGAGGUAGUGCGACACUAGUUGUAUUUUACUCUACAUGUUGAUAGAUGGUGGUGUACCAGCUCCAGAAGAAAAGAAAGAAAAUCUCUCACUCUCUCCCUCUCUGCCGAAACCAGCAACCAAAACAGAGCAUUCCUUCUCCAAGCUUGUUCUCGCUCCACAGGCCUUUGAAUCGACCCAGACCACGUUCCACAGCUUCGCCUCUUCCUUUCGCAGCUGCCGGUAACAGCCUUUCGCCGUCUCGUGGGCCGUACACGGCGGUGGAGCACGAGGCCGGUUUACCCCCGUUUUGAUUUCAAGCUUGAUAUCUCAAGUUACCAUUCACCACUCCUCACCAAACUCCAUCCACAAGCUCACCUCAACGUCCUGAAGCUCCCAGAAGUGGCCUUGCACGGCGGCGCUACUCGUGGUGGCGGCUGGAAGCCAGACCCGAUCAAAUCGAAAACCAAAGCUUCGAUCGACAUAUCUCGCGCUACAGGAUGUUGUUUUGAGUGUUUCUUGAACUGGUGAACUCAGAGUGAGGAUCUGAACAACUUUCCAGAAGGUAUCGAGGCCUGAAGUUGCAGUUUUUACGUCGAACUAGGAGCUCACCGGUUUCUGGGUUUUUUCCGGCCAACCCGACUGGUUUGAGGUGAUCGACAGUUUGAUUUGGUGGACGAUUCGUGAAAGUGUAUUUUGAGCUGUUAAGAAGACGCAGCGGGAAUUUAGAGCGGGAAAUCCUACAGGUCAGGAGAACCAGGACGGUGAUCGGGCUGCUUAGAGUAGUGUUAUGUGAAUUACAGCAUUAUAUUGUGAGGUUUGUUAUGCUCAUUUAGAGCUUUGCAAUUUUACUUUGUAAGAGUGAAUUGUAAUAAUUAACUCGAGGUUUUCGAGUUUUUGUGUUGAGUGGCGAGUGGUGUGU